rnacentral:rRNA from 1 species
AGAGUUUGAUCCUGGCUCAGGAUGAACGCUAGCGGCAGGCUUAACACAUGCAAGUCGAGGGGCAGCAUAAUGGAUAGCAAUAUCUAUGGUGGCGACCGGCGCACGGGUGCGUAACGCGUAUGCAACCUACCUUUAACAGGGGGAUAACACUGAGAAAUUGGUACUAAUACCCCAUAAUAUCAUAGAAGGCAUCUUUUAUGGUUGAAAAUUCCGAUGGUUAGAGAUGGGCAUGCGUUGUAUUAGCUAGUUGGUGGGGUAACGGCUCACCAAGGCGACGAUACAUAGGGGGACUGAGAGGUUAACCCCCCACACUGGUACUGAGACACGGACCAGACUCCUACGGGAGGCAGCAGUGAGGAAUAUUGGUCAAUGGACGCAAGUCUGAACCAGCCAUGCCGCGUGCAGGAUGACGGCUCUAUGAGUUGUAAACUGCUUUUGUACGAGGGUAAACGCAGAUACGUGUAUCUGUCUGAAAGUAUCGUACGAAUAAGGAUCGGCUAACUCCGUGCCAGCAGCCGCGGUAAUACGGAGGAUCCGAGCGUUAUCCGGAUUUAUUGGGUUUAAAGGGAGCGUAGGCGGACGCUUAAGUCAGUUGUGAAAGUUUGCGGCUCAACCGUAAAAUUGCAGUUGAUACUGGGUGUCUUGAGUACAGUAGAGGCAGGCGGAAUUCGUGGUGUAGCGGUGAAAUGCUUAGAUAUCACGAAGAACUCCGAUUGCGAAGGCAGCCUGCUGGACUGUAACUGACGCUGAUGCUCGAAAGUGUGGGUAUCAAACAGGAUUAGAUACCCUGGUAGUCCACACAGUAAACGAUGAAUACUCGCUGUUUGCGAUAUACAGUAAGCGGCCAAGCGAAAGCGUUAAGUAUUCCACCUGGGGAGUACGCCGGCAACGGUGAAACUCAAAGGAAUUGACGGGGGCCCG